AAAAAUAAUAGUUUUGCCGUAGACAGUAGGUGCGUAAAGCUUAAAUAUCCUACCGAGGUUUUAGAUGGAUUGAAUUACUAAAGCUUUGUGUGUCUAUAAAAUGAUACGAAAGCUUUUUUUA
rnacentral:sRNA from 1 species